GAUGAACGCUGGCGGCGUGCCUAAUACAUGCAAGUCGAGCGAACAGACGAGGAGCUUGCUCCUUUGACGUUAGCGGCGGACGGGUGAGUAACACGUGGGUAACCUACCUAUAAGACUGGGAUAACUGCGGGAAACCGGAGCUAAUACCGGAUAAUAUUUCGAACCGCAUGGUUCGAUAGUGAAAGAUGGCUUUGCUAUCACUUAUAGAUGGACCUGCGCCGUAUUAGCUAGUUGGUAAGGUAACGGCUUACCAAGGCAACGAUACGUAGCCGACCUGAGAGGGUGAUCGGCCACACUGGAACUGAGACACGGUCCAGACUCCUACGGGAGGCAGCAGUAGGGAAUCUUCCGCAAUGGGCGAAAGCCUGACGGAGCAACGCCGCGUGAGUGAUGAAGGUCUUCGGAUCGUAAAACUCUGUUAUUAGGGAAGAACAAACGUGUAAGUAACUGUGCACGUCUUGACGGUACCUAAUCAGAAAGCCACGGCUAACUACGUG
rnacentral:rRNA from 1 species